rnacentral:rRNA from 1 species
UACGAAGGGGGCUAGCGUUGUUCGGAAUUACUGGGCGUAAAGCGCGCGUAGGCGGAUAUUUAAGUCAGGGGUGAAAUCCCAGGGCUCAACCCUGGAACUGCCUUUGAUACUGGAUAUCUGGAGUUCGGGAGAGGUGAGUGGAAUUCCGAGUGUAGAGGUGAAAUUCGUAGAUAUUCGGAGGAACACCAGAAGCGAAGGCGGCUCACUGGCCCGAUACUGACGCUGAGGCGCGAAAGCGUGGGGAGCAAACAGG